AAAAUGGCUACCACAUCCAAGGAAGGCAGCAGGCGCGCAAAUUACCCAAUCCCAGAAUGGGGAGGUAGUGACGAAAAAUAACGAGACAGUCCACUAUGUGGCCUGUCAUCGGAAUGGGUACAAUUUAAAAACUUUAACGAGGAUCUAUUAGAGGGCAAGUCUGGUGCCAGCAGCCGCGGUAAUUCCAGCUCUAAUAGCGUAUAUUAAAGUUGUUGUGUUAAAACGCCCGUAGUUGGAUCUUCGGUCUUGAGGCUCGGUAGCUCGUAAGGGCUUAACUGAGUCCUCUGGCCUAAAUUUUAGUAUUCUCCUGAUGCUCUUUAUUGAGCGUCUUGAGUUGCUAGAACGUUUACUUUGAAAAAAUUAGAGUGCUAAAAGCAGGCUAUAUGCUUGAAUAAAGUGCAUGGAAUAAUGGAAUAGGACUUUAGUUUUAUUUUGUUGGUUUUCGAAAUUAAAGUAAUGAUUAAGAGGAACAGACGGGGGCAUUCGUAUUGUUGCGUUAGAGGUGAAAUUCUUGGAUCGCAGCAAGACGAACAACUGCGAAAGCAUUUGCCAAGAAUGUUUUCAUUAAUCAAGGACGAUAGUUAGAGGUUCGAAGGCGAUCAGAUACCGCCCUAGUUCUAACCGUAAACGAUGCCAACUAGCGAUCCGUCGGUGUUAAGAUUUGACUCGGCGGGCAGCUUCCGGGAAACCAAAGUUUUCUGGUUCCGGGGGAAGUAUGGUUGCAAAGCUUAAACUUAAAGGAAUUGACGGAAGGGCACCACCAGGAGUGGAGCCUGCGGCUUAAUUUGACCCAACACGGGGAAACUCACCCGGCCAGGACACAAUAAGGAUUGACAGAUUGAUAGCUCUUUCUUGAUUUUGUGGGUGGUGGUGCAUGGCCGUUCUUAGUUGGUGGAGCGAUUUGUCUGGUUAAUUCCGAUAACGAACGAGACUCUAGCCUAUUAAAUAGACGAUAAAUUUUUAGUAUAUCGAGCUUCUUAGAGGGACAAGCAGCUUCUAGCUGCACGAGAUUGAGCAAUAACAGGUCUGUGAUGCCCUUAGAUGUCCGGGGCUGCACGCGCGCUACAAUGAAAAUAGCAGCGUGCUUUAAAACCUUUUCUGGUAAGAAUUGGUAAACACGAAAUAUUUUCGUGCUUGGGAUAGGGGAUUGCAAUUAUUGCCCUUAAACGAGGAAUUCCCAGUAAGUGCAAGUCAUUAGCUUGCGUUGAUUACGUCCCUGCCCUUUGUACACACCGCCCGUCGCUACUACCGAUUGGAAGAUUUAGUGAAUUCUUCGGACUGGACUCGAAGUGAUGUAAAAGUCGCUACGAGAUUCGGAAAGAUGAAUGAACCAAAUUUUCUAGAGGAAGUAAAAGUCGUAACAAGGUU
rnacentral:rRNA from 1 species